AUUGAACACUGGCGGCAGGCUUAACACAUGCAAGUCGAGCGAGCGGCGGACGGGUGAGUAAUGUCUGGGAAACUGCCUGAUGGAGGGGGAUAACUACUGGAAACGGUAGCUAAUACCGCAUACCAUCAGAUGUGCCCAGAUGGGAUUAGCUAGUAGGUGGGGUAAUGGCUCACCUAGGCGACGAUCCCUAGCUGGUCUGAGAGGAUGACCGCCCACACUGGAACUGAGACACGGUCCAGACUCCUACGGGAGGCAGCAGUGGGGAAUAUUGCACAAGGGGCGCAAGCCGGAUGCAGCCAUGCCGCGUGUGUGAAGAAGGCCUUAGGGUUGUAAAGCACUUUCAGCGGGGAGGCGUUAUUUACAGAAGAAGCACCGGCUAACUCCGUGCCAGCAGCCGCGGUAAUAC
rnacentral:rRNA from 1 species